CAAUAAACCUGAUCGUAACGGACACGAGUGCAACGAGUAAAGUGCAGAGCAGGGCUAACC
rnacentral:misc_RNA from 1 species